rnacentral:rRNA from 1 species
AUUGAACGCUGGCGGCAGGCCUAACACAUGCAAGUCGAGCGGGGUUUUCGGACUUAGCGGCGGACGGGUGAGUAAUGCGUAGGAAGCUACCCGAUAGAGGGGGAUACCAGUUGGAAACGACUGUUAAUACCGCAUAAUGUCUACGGACCAAAGUGUGGGACCUUCGGGCCACAUGCUAUCGGAUGCGCCUACGUGGGAUUAGCUAGUUGGUGGGGUAAUGGCUCACCAAGGCGACGAUCCCUAGCUGGUUUGAGAGGAUGAUCAGCCACACUGGAACUGAGACACGGUCCAGACUCCUACGGGAGGCAGCAGUGGGGAAUAUUGGACAAUGGGCGCAAGCCUGAUCCAGCCAUGCCGCGUGUGUGAAGAAGGCCUUCGGGUUGUAAAGCACUUUCAGUAGGGAGGAAGGGUGUUGUGUUAAUAGCGCAGCAUUUUGACGUUACCUACAGAAGAAGCACCGGCUAACUCUGUGCCAGCCGCCGCGGUAAAAC